rnacentral:tRNA from 1 species
GGCGCGGUAGUAGCGUAGGACAAUACGAGAGGCUCAUAACCUCUAAACGCAGGUGCAAAUCCUGCCCGCGCAACCA